AAAACAUUCGAGUUUUAACUAUAAAAUGAUCAAAAUAAAUCCCUUUAGUACAUUCAAAGGAUGAAAAAUAUGGUUCGGUUUCUUAUGUUUGUUUAUUCUUUGAUUAUCUUUUUUUCUCUAUUUUUUGGAGAAGCGGCGAUCGAGAGGACUGAACCAAUGCUUACAACCUAUUUAAUUCUCUGUGUUUCUGAAGCUGAUUGUCCAAAGGUGGUUAAACCUAAUUAUACAAUGUGUGCUGGUGGUAUUUGUUGGCAAUCUGUUCAAGGUUCAAAUCAAGGGCCAUAAUUGCACAAUUGAAACUAGGGGACAUCACAAUAUUUCAAGUUUUAUUCUUUAUUUAAAAAUAUAAAUUAUGUUUAUCUAGCUAGUAAAUUUAAUUGAAUGUGUACACACUGCACUCUUUUUUCCUUCAUCAAGUUUUAUCCAAUUGGGUUUUCUUGAUCAGGUUUUAACGAGGCAGUUUUCUAUUGUAUUUUUUUCUUGGGUUUUGGCAUAGUCCCCCCUAUUUUUUUUUUUAUAAAUAAUAUGUUUCUUUGAGGUCUUGCAGAUGAUUGCAAGGAGUUAGGGUUCCAACUUAGCUGGAAUUUCCUCACGUCUUAUCUUAUGAUGCCUAUGUACGUUCAUGAUAUCUAAAAAAAUUAAAUGCAUUUUUCCAUAAUAAUUUA